rnacentral:rRNA from 1 species
UACGUAGGGUGCGAGCGUUAAUCGGAAUUACUGGGCGUAAAGCGUGCGCAGGCGGCUUUGCAAGACAGAUGUGAAAUCCCCGGGCUCAACCUGGGAACUGCACUUGUGACUGCAAGGCUAGAGUACGGAAGAGGGGGAUGGAAUUCCGCGUGUAGCAGUGAAAUGCGUAGAUAUGCGGAGGAACACCAAUGGCGAAGGCAAUCCCCUGGGCCUGUACUGACGCUCAUGCACGAAAGCGUGGGGAGCAAACAGG